GGCUGGUAUCUGCGCAUACAGGCGAAGAGCAGCAGGGACUGCCGAAGCAUUCUCUCAGACACUGAGCCAUCAUCACUCCAAAGCUGCUUGUCGAUUAGGUCUUUAAAUAACUUGACUAUAUAGUUGAAAUGUUACCUUUAACUGUUUUUCUGUAUCAUCCAUAUCCCGCUUCUCCAUGAGCUUGUAUAUAGGAACCAGCUCAUUCAUACCUUGGAGUACAGGCAUGAUUUGUGUUUCCCGUUUCAGGUAUAAAGUUAAAUCAAAAGCUUUAGAAAUUGGCAUUUUUUUUAUUCUAAAGAGAAGAAAGGGGACAAAGGAAGUUGCAAUUAAGCUUACCAAACAAACUCAAAAGCAAAAUCCAAGGCACAGUUUUUUAACUUUGUUUUUAGAUGUCAAAUGCAGCUGAGCAAAUAACAUAAGCUGUGAAACUUAAGAUCUAGUCUUUGAACUAAGAAAUGGACCGUAAGGGAAUGUUAUUAGUAAGACCCACUUUUUCCCCUGUCCCAUGGUCGUCAAAGCACUGUCUCUCUCUUGCAGUCUCCCCACUUUGCUCGAUAUAGCACAUACAGAAGAAAUCCAAUCACUGAAUUUAUUUCCUCUGUAACACCUUUCUAGCUUGACAUGCAGGUACUUAAUCUCUUGUAGUGAAACCUCACAGCUAUAAUCCAAGCUGCUUCUUCACUUUAACUAACAGCUCGAGCCUCCUAUGUCAGCCAGGAUAUACCUCAAUUAUUUAUUACAGGAGAAAAUAGAGAAACUGCAAGAGGACUUAGUUCAUUUCAUCCUGGCAUUUUUUUUAUCCUUCAGUGAAACCUUUUUUCUGCUUCUUUCUGCCCAUGCUAUCUCCCCAUAUACAUUCUCAUUUUGUCUUUAUUCACCUUUCUCUUCUUCAAAACACAAGUCACCCAUCUUAAAAGGAGCCAAGUUUAACCCAAUUUGCAUCUCUGAUUGUCCCUUCUUCCUUUCUUCUCUAAGCUUCUUGAACACAAUAAGCAAUCUUUCUUCAGGCUCCCCUUUUCCCUUCAAACUUUGAACUAUAAAAACCUUUCUUCUGCUGUCCAGAUGAAAAAGUUGACUAGCCUCGCUGGCAUCUCUUUAUGAGCUGGAGCCUCAGGUUCAUGUGAUCGUCCUCCAGCUCUCCUUACCACCUUUUUUCCUGAAUGCUGUAAGAUCAGCAAUUAAUGCAUUCGGUUCUUUGGUUCUCUUUGCCUCUCCGAGUAUACAUACCUGUUGCAGAUUUUGUUUGUGAAACACCCCUAAAGACACAUUUUUUUUGUAAUAACAUCCACAGAACUAAGACUAACCAUGGCUAUAAUCAUAUCACAUUUUUAUUACUGUAAGAGCCUUGUUUCUAAUUGACAAACGGAAACAGUGUCUGUCCAGGAGCAAAAACACUACCCUACUCCGUCACUUUACACUGGCAUCUUUCCACUGGCAUGUCUGUAUUGAGCAAGACCUGUUUUUACCCCCCUUUCAGAUCUGUUCUGUUUUUCAUCCAUGAAAUGUCGUGCUGAGAAUUUAACUUCUUCUGACUGCCUUCUGGUGUUUUUUGCCAUCUUCCACCUCCAACUUUCAGGUUUCUAAGUGAGUAUGUUUCUCCCUGCUCCUCACAUUAAAAGGAAGCUCUUCAGUCAGAGCUACUUGUCAAAGCUUCACUGGUCUUCUUCUUAAGGUCCCUGCUUACGGUUGGCUUUGCUGUAUUGUCCACAUCAGAAAUUAGGCACGUACUGAGCGCCACAGCUCUCUGUUGUACUCUCACCUGAGCUCACUGAGCAACCCUACAUGGCUGUAACUCUGCCACCUUUGACUGUAAGCUUUUCCUGAGGCAAGUGCAAGGGACAUUUCUUUUGUUUUUUCUUCAGUUCAGCAAGAUGCAGUUCAAGUGAGAUAUAUAUAUAUAUAUUCAACCCUGAAUAUAGCAGAUCUUUUCCCAACACCUCAUCCUGGAAUGCCUACUGAAAAACAGUCUAAAAACCUCCGCUGAAUUACAGAGUAAGAGAUUGUAUGCUCUGCCACCUCCUCAGUUGCCUUUUUGCUCAACAGCUGGACCAGGGGAGUUAUAAUACUACUUUCACGCUCCCCUUUCUUGAACUUGAGAGAGAAAGCACAGCUACCUGUGAUGCAGGACAGGACAAAGAUUUGACUGUCCUAGAGAUCAUCAGUAUUUCCACAUAAACGCUCUCCUAGCAUUAGCUCACUUGCAAAAACUUGACCGAGAGAUUUAAUAGGUUGCAUGGAGAUGUGCUGAUGAGUGCUUUGGGUACUCUGAAGAACACUUGUAAUCAAGACACUAAAUGUCCACAUCUACUGAGCAUCCUCAGAAGCUAAAAUUUUAGCAGAAAAUUAUACGAAGAAAACAUUCAAAGAAAAAUAAAGUUCUAUCAAAAGCAGAUAUAUGCUCCAUUUAGUAUGCAAUCAUUAGCCCCGUGUUAGCAGCAGACAAAAUACCUU